CUCGGGGCUGCGUUAUAAACACGGCGCGCUUGGAAGACCACGAUGUCAUCUUCCUUCUGUCAGGUAAGUAGUUUAUUGUUUUUAAAGAUCGUUACGAUCUAGGUUUACAGUCCGAGUGCGGAGAGAGUCCGUCAAUCCACACUAUGGACGCUGUUCAUCAGCUAAUACGCCAUUGUUAGCCACAUGCUACAGCCCACGGUAGCCUGUGCUACCUGGGAGGUGAAUACAUUGUUGUUGAAACCAGUUCAAGACGCUUAGCUCAUCAUUGAGGGACGCUACAAUAUAAAUAUAAACAUGAAUUUGAUUUAUGAAUGCUUUAGAUUAAUAAGGAGUGUAUUUCUCUACUAUUACUCCACAAUAUCAGGUCAAUUUGGUUUAAUGUAUAGUAUGCACUAUGACAAUAAUGUUUCCAUGUUAUGGAGUUGCGAUUCAUUUUAUAAAACAAUUGCUAUGUUCUGUUUUUUAAUCAAGGAGGAUCCCAGUGAAGCUACAGGAGUUUCAUUAACGUCAACAACUUGGACCGAACGGUUUGCUUUGCUUGAUGAAGAGCAGGAAGGGCAGCCUGGAGAGAAAGAGAAGCCGGGUUGAGCCCACUACCAUCAUCCACGUACCACGAGGAAGAUGAGGGAGAGAAAUGAUCCUACCAUUAAAGAGACUGUGAAAAGAACGUUGAGAACAUCACCACUCUACAGGAAGACACAGUCCAGUAAUGGGUGUCAGAAUUUCAGUAGUGAACGACAGGAAGGACUGAUGCAUUUACUGAGACGGGACGUGAGGGCCUACUCUGCGUGCUCAGAGUUCAAGCCCAGCAGGCUGCAGCGGGCCUGACAUAUUCCGGAACAGCAGCACAGUCUUUGGAUGACUCCUCUGAAGAUGAAAACAUGGCGAGUUCUUCUCAAGAGAAGCAGUACAGGUGUGCCUCAGCUCCACGCUCCCUCCUGCAGCCUCCGCUCCUGAUGCUAACCUCAUGUCUCCAUCACACCAAGCAGCAGACCUGGAUUGACAGACCUUUCUCCAGAGCUGCCCCCUCCCUCUGAAACCCCCCUCUCCAAAACACUAUUUGUGUAGUUUUUAAAGUAUUUUUUGCAUGAGAAUUGUUGAUCAUAACAUUUCCAGCAGAUGCCUUAAUGUAAUGUUUGUGCACAAUAAAUUACAUUGAUCAUAACAUAUUGGUAUUUCCUUGCACUUCUACACCAUGAUAUUGUCAGAUAAGAUGCUGAUUACAUUAAAGCAGUGAAUGCUCUUCUUUAAGCAACAUAAACAAACAAUGAUCCAAUGAAUCUGAAGUAGAAUGGGCACAUUACAUUCUGUAGAGAAUGCCUCAGUAAUUGAAGUCAGAAAAUAACUUUCUUUAUCUGAGGUUCCAGUCAUUUAUAGUCACAGCAAAGCACACAGGUCUGGUUGUCUAGGGACACCCAUAUCAUAUUGUUUAAGAUGUGUAACAUCAAGUUUGUGUAUCAGUGCAAAAUACAUACCGUCAUUAGUCAAGAGUUCACUCUCUUGUUUACACUAAAUUUAGGUGACCCAGAUGUUUCACAAUGCAUCUGAUAAGGUCUUAUGAGAAACAUUCUUAACAUUAAAGAAAUCAACACAGAGGAUAGCAGUAGA